GAUGAACGCUGGCGGCGUGCCUAAUACAUGCAAGUCGAGCGAACAGACGAGGAGCUUGCUCCUUCGACGUUAGCGGCGGACGGGAGAGUAACACGUAGAUAACCUACCUAUAAGACUGGGAUAACUUCGGGAAACCGGAGCUAACACCGGAGAAUAUUUCGAACCGCAUGGUUCGAUAGUGAAAGAUGGCUUUGCUAUAACUUAUAGAUGGACCUGCGCCGUAUUAGCUAGUUGGUAGGUUAACGGCUUACCACGGCAACGAUACGUAGCCGACCUGAGAGGGUGGUCGGCCACACUGGAACUGAGCCACGGUCCAGACUCCUACGGGACGCAGCAGUAGGGAAUGUUCCGCAAUGGGCGAAAGCCUGACGGAGCAACGCCGCGUGAGUGAUGACGGUCUUCGGAGCGUAAAGCUCUGUUAUUAGUGAAAAACAACCGUGUAAGUAACUGUGCACGUCUUGACGGUACCUAAUCAGAAAGCAACGGCUAACUACGUG
rnacentral:rRNA from 1 species